UACGUAGGGGGCAAGCGUUAUCCGGAUUUACUGGGUGUAAAGGGAGCGUAGACGGAAUUGCAAGUCUGAUGUGAAAAUCCGGGGCCCAACCCCGGAACUGCAUUGGAAACUGUAUUUCUAGAGUGUCGGAGAGGCAAGUGGAACUCCUGGUGUAGCGGUGAAAUGCGUAGAUAUCAGGAGGAACACCAGUGGCGAAGGCGGCUUGCUGGACGAUGACUGACGUUGAGGCUUGAAAGCGUGGGGAGCAAACAGG
rnacentral:rRNA from 1 species